GACGAUAUCACGUUGAAACACUGGUUCUCGUACAAUCACUGAAGUUAAGCAAUAUCAAGCCUGGUCAGUACUUAGAUGGGUGACCGCUUGGGAAUACCAGGUGUUGUAA
rnacentral:rRNA from 1 species